GCUGGGCGUGGUGGUGCAUGCCUGUAAUCCCAGCUACUUGGGAGGCUGAGGCAGGAGAAUCGCUUGAACUCGGGAGGCAGAGGUUGCAGUGAGCUGGGAUCGUGCCACUGCACUCCAGCCUGGGUGAUAGAGUGAGACUCUGUCUCAA
ensembl:misc_RNA Metazoa_SRP Metazoan signal recognition particle RNA